rnacentral:rRNA from 1 species
CCUACGGGAGGCUGCAGUGAGGAAUAUUGGUCAAUGGGCGAGAGCCUGAACCAGCCAAGUCGCGUGAAGGAUGACGGCCCUACGGGUUUUAAACUUCUUUUGUCAGGGAGCAAUUGGGUCCACGCGUGGGCUUAGCGAGAGUAGCUGAAGACAAAGCAUCCGCUAACUCAGUGCCAGCAGCCGCGGUAAUACGGAGGGUGCAAGCGUUACUCGGAAUCACUGGGCGUAAAGAGUGCGUAGGCGGGUUAAUAAUUCAGAUGUGAAAUCCUGUAGCUUAACUACAGAACUGCAUUUGAUACUGGUACUCUGGAGUGUGGGAGAGGUAGGUGGAAUUCUUGGUGUAGGGGUAAAAUGCGUAGAGAUCAAGAGGAAUACUCAUUGCGAAGGCGACCUGCUGGAACAUUACUGACGCUGAUGUACGAAAGCGUGGGGAGCAAACAGGAUUAGAUACCCUUGUAGUC